rnacentral:lncRNA from 1 species
CGCCCGCCGCCCGCGUGCGGGGCGGUGAGAGGCCGGCGGCGCCCGCUCCCACCACCUGUGAAGAAAUUUUCGGCCCUAUUUCCGUCUCUGUGUUCGUUGAGUUGGGUCCGAAGAGCCCCCUCCUCCUCCUCCUCCCCCCCGCGCCGCCGCACCGUUGUGUUAACGCUGGAGCGAAGGAGAAAUGGAGCGGAGCGCUCCGGGCCAUUUCUGAUGGCAGACCCCCGCUCCCAGCGUCGAGCGCUGCACCCCGCUCCUGUUUUCGCCUUUUUCUCCUCCCAAAAUGGAGCUCCGGCGGCGAGCGGGGUCUGUCCCCGCGGUGCCUGCGUGGGAUCGGUGUUUCUCUCGAGACUGAACGCCAAAAUCAAUGUUAAGGCGCGGGGAGGGCAGAGCGGCGAUUGCAUAACUAUAACGCGGAGAAUGGAAAUGGCGCUGCGCGGGUUCUGCGUGGGUCUCCCCGCAGAGCCGGGCCUCCCCCAUCACCACGGAGCCGCCAUCCGACCCUGCGCGCAGCGCGUAUCUCCCUGCGAAGCCCCUGCGAAGCAGAGGGACGGGGCUGCUCGGCCCCGUUCUGCCGCGGGGCAUUCCGCGGGUGAGGGGGGCAGCGCGCAGCUCCACGCUGUGUUUCAGCCUGAGCCGAAUCUCAAAAGCUAUUGCUUUGUGUGUUGUCCAAGGGAAGAAAAAAAAAUCUCGCCUUAAAACUGUUGUUUUUAAUUUGAGGGACCGCUCCGUUUGGCCGGCCGCGGUGGUUUCUUAUUUGUGUUUAAUUGUCUGUCACCGAAAUGGAGGGGAGUGUGAGGUCUGAAUUCCCCCCCCCCCCCGGCAAAAGAGGAAUAUUCUUCCCUCUGCCCGAGUUUCCUCCAUAGGAUUUCUUCUUAAAGUGAGUGACAGUUUGCAUUAUGUUCCGCAAAGGUCACAACCAAAAGCAGUGGGGAAGCGCACUGCAGAAAAGAUGUGGAUUUAAAGCCCUUCCCCACCUCCGCGGCCCCGGUCAAAGGGAGAACGCGGUGCGACUGUUUGUGUCGCGGCUGGAGGCCUUACAGGGAGUGUUACCAAACGUAUGUCUUACGAAAGCGGGGCCCUUGCGGAAAUCUCAUGGACAGAGCUCCGAGGUGAGCACGGCCGUAUUUUCAAAAUAGAGCGCAGCUCCGUGGCGCGAUGGGUGACCUCUGGGCUGCACUCCGGCAGCACGCUGCCCUCUGCGCCUGUCCCCACAAACCGGGGGGCUGAGGCGAGCGAGGUUGGAUUUGCGCUGCCGGGGGCUUUUGUUGCGCGCAGAGGGCAGCGGCGGCGACGGGCCGGGGCCCACGUGAAGAGGAACGCGAAGUAACGAUGCUCGAGGUUUCCCGUGUCGUCCUCACGGCGUGAGCAGGAGCGGAGCGCCGGACCCGCGCGUCGGUAGUAGAAGAGCGACCUGCGCGCCUCGUGGGGUGAAUGCUCCCGCAUCCUCGGUCGGAAAUCACCGAUUUCGGGAAUAACCGCUAAUUGAACGUUAGCUUUCAAUUAGUCUCAGUGCGAAGUCGUUUAAAUGUCGGCGCAGUCACUCCGUUCCCCCUCGCUUGCCCGACGGCUCGGUUAUUUUGAUAUGCGCGGUUUUUGGAAGGACUGCGAGGCGCGCAGCAGAGGGCAGGGGCAGCGGCGGUGCCGUCGGGGCGGCUGAGACCGAGUGGCCGCUGCGCGGGCGCGCAGGUGGCGUGCGGAGGAGCACAGAGGGGCAGCGCGCAGAGCAGGUUGCGCGAGUUUUAGUCCGCCGGACCUCGACCCGAGCCCCACGGGCCGGGAGGAUCCCGCUCGCCCUUCCCGUGUGAAUUUUGUUUCUUUUUUUACCCCCCUUUUAUUUCCCCCUCUCCCUUUCCUGCCCGACGGCGCGUCCUCCCCGAAGGUGGUGCGGUGCCGCGGUGCGCGGAGCCCUCCCGACUUCAUGACGGCGGCGCUCAUAAAGCCAUUCGCUUCUUUCCAAAGCCAUAAACAAACGUCGUGUUAGGUCAAGAUUGAUGGUGUCCAUGCAAUAAAACCGGGCCAGGUCAGGAAGGAAUAAAAUUCAAUCAGAGCGCGCGGAAUCAUUUUUCAGGGGACAGAAAGACAGAAAAGGAGACGGGGGUCAGGGGAGGCGAUGCCGCCGGUCCCAGCGCACCGCCGCCG